GGUUGAGUGGCGCAAUGGUAGCGUGUGGUCCUCCUAUUGCAGAAGGGUUUCCAGACUGAGGUUGUGGGUUCGAGUCCCAUCUCAAUCG